rnacentral:lncRNA from 1 species
CAAAAAAACCCCAGAAGUGUGGAGAAAGGCAGUUCAACAGUUCCAGAAACUCUGAUGAAAAUGUACCAUGUUAAGACAUUGUGCUAGGCACAGGAUCAGAGAAGAUACAAUCCCUUUCGUCAUGGAAAUCACACUUAGUAGGAGAGCAGCUACAUGGGACAGAACCAUUUGACAGUAGAUAAAAGUGAAACAUUAGCAUAGUCACAGGAUGAUUUUCAACAAUGUUUGCCAGACUUAGAACAGGAGGAGAGGAUGUUGAGUUGAGGGCUGUGAAGAUUCGAGUCAGCGCCUGACCUUAUGUCAGUAUUAACAAGGGCAGCCUUGAUCUUGGUGAACAUGAUGAGCAGUCCAAGAAAGGAGUACGAAGAAUAAGGGCCAGCAUUGGUCUUGUGUGGAGGGAGUGAAAAUGGGGUCAGGUGAAGAGGUAUCACUUCCAACAGGACCAUCAAGUUAGACAUCUUUUAAAGGAUAAGAGGCCCAGAGGUUAAGCCCUGAUAGCAGGUCACUGAGACACUGUGGAGGGAAAUGGAUAAGCCAGGAGUGUUGUGAAGGUGUAAUAAGGGCUGCACAUGUCAUAAUGGGAUCUAAACAAAUAGGAGGCAUACAAGGCUUAUGGGAAGUUGGCUCCCCAGAAAUCUGAGAGAAACUAAGACAUGUAAAGUCCUGCUCACCCAUGAAAGUUUCUAAAUACAGGAGCUCUGAUUCUAAAGUCAUCUCCAUUUAUAUUGGUUUACCUUUUUAAGACACUUUGUUGUUUCAGAGCUACCUUGCCAUGGAGAUUCAUUACCUUUUCUCUGCUCUUUUCUUCCUUGGCCUGCUGUCUACCUCAGCUCUAUGCGACUCAUUUUCAUCUAGCAGUACGUCUCCAAAACCUGCAUCUUCACAAGAAAGCCGUACAGCAAUUAACCAGUGUUGCAAGGAUUGCCUCUGUAAUAAAGGAUCUGUGAUUUUCUCAUUUUGCCUGGCAGUUGUGUUGUUUCCUCUGGGUAUUGAUCACACUUGUACAAAUGGACAGACAUUGAAAAUACAUCCGCUGGUGGGUAAACCUGAAAUAAAUGCUAAUUUUUCAUUUUUAUAA